GGGGGGGGGGGGGGGGGGGGGUGGGGGGGGGUGGGGGGGCGGGCGGGGCGUGCUUGUGUGGGGUGGUGGCGUGGCGCGCGGGUGAGUGAGGCGGGCGUAUCCUGGCCUUGACUUCGGGAUAACUUCCGGAAACUGGGGGUAAUGCCGGCUGGGCGCUCCUGCGGCCUGUCGGGGGUUUGACAGUUUCGGCGGUGGGGGUUGGACUCGCGUCUUCGCAGCUGGUUGGUUGGGUCUUGGCUUACCAAGGCUUUGACGGGUAGCCGGCCUGGGCGGGUGACCGGCCACAUUGGGACUGAGAUACGGGCCAGACUCCUACGGGAGGCAGCAGUGGGGAAUAUUGCAAAAUGGGCGGAAGCCUGAUGCAGCAACGCCGCGUGCGGGAUGACGGCCUUCGGGUUGUAAACCGCUUUCGCCUGUGACGAAGCGUGAGUGACGGUAAUGGGUAAAGAAGCACCGGCUAACUACGUG
rnacentral:rRNA from 1 species